UACGUAGGGUGCGAGCGUUAAUCGGAAUUACUGGGCGUAAAGCGCACGUAGGCGGAUCUUUAAGUCAGGGGUGAAAUCCCAAGGCUCAACCUUGGAACUGCCUUUGAUACUGGGGAUCUCGAGUCCGGAAGAGGUGAGUGGAACUGCGAGUGUAGAGGUGAAAUUCGUAGAUAUUCGCAAGAACACCAGUGGCGAAGGCGGCUCACUGGUCCGGUACUGACGCUGAGGUGCGAAAGCGUGGGGAGCAAACAGG
rnacentral:rRNA from 1 species